AUAACAGCUGGAAACGGCUGCUAAUACCGCAUAAGCGCACGAGAGGACAUCCUCUUGUGUGAAAAACUCCGGUGGUACAGGAUGGGCCCGCGUCUGAUUAGCUGGUUGGCAGGGUAACGGCCUACCAAGGCGACGAUCAGUAGCCGGUCUGAGAGGAUGAACGGCCACAUUGGAACUGAGACACGGUCCAAACUCCUACGGGAGGCAGCAGUGGGGAAUAUUGCACAAUGGGGGAAACCCUGAUGCAGCAACGCCGCGUGAGUGAAGAAGUAUUUCGGUAUGUAAAGCUCUAUCAGCAGGGAAGAUAAUGACGGUACCUGACUAAGAAGCUCCGGCUAAAUACGUGCCAGCAGCCGCGGUAAUACGUAUGGAGCAAGCGUUAUCCGGAUUUACUGGGUGUAAAGGGUGCGUAGGUGGCAGUGCAAGUCAGAUGUGAAAGGCCGGGGCUCAACCCCGGAGCUGCAUUUGAAACUGCUCGGCUAGAGUACAGGAGAGGCAGGCGGAAUUCCUAGUGUAGCGGUGAAAUGCGUAGAUAUUAGGAGGAACACCAGUGGCGAAGGCGGCCUGCUGGACUGUUACUGACACUGAGGCACGAAAGCGUGGGGAGCAAACAGGAUUAGAUACCCUGGUAGUCCACGCCGUAAAC
rnacentral:rRNA from 1 species